AAUAGAUACCCUGGUAGUCCACGCCGUAAACGAUGUCGACUUGGAGGUUGUUCCCUUGAGGAGUGGCUUCCGGAGCUAACGCGUUAAGUCGACCGCCUGGGGAGUACGGCCGCAAGGUUAAAACUCAAAUGAAUUGACGGGGGCCCGCACAAGCGGUGGAGCAUGUGGUUUAAUUCGAUGCAACGCGAAGAACCUUACCUACUCUUGACAUCCACGGAACUUUUCAGAGAUGAAUUGGUGCCUUCGGGAACCGUGAGACAGGUGCUGCAUGGCUGUCGUCAGCUCGUGUUGUGAAAUGUUGGGUUAAGUCCCGCAACGAGCGCAACCCUUAUCCUUUGUUGCCAGCGGUUAGGCCGGGAACUCAAAGGAGACUGCCAGUGAUAAACUGGAGGAAGGUGGGGAUGACGUCAAGUCAUCAUGGCCCUUACGAGUAGGGCUACACACGUGCUACAAUGGCGCAUACAAAGAGAAGCGACCUCGCGGGAGCAAGCGGACCUCAUAAAGUGCGUCGUAGUCCGGAUUGGAGUCUGCAACUCGACU
rnacentral:rRNA from 1 species